UACGUAGGGAGCAAGCGUUGUCCGGAUUUAUUGGGCGUAAAGAGCUCGUAGGCGGUUGAGAAAGUCAGGUGUGAAACCUCCAGGCUCAACCUGGAGACGCCACUUGAUACUUCUCUGACUUGAGUUCGGUAGGGGACCACGGAAUUCCUGGUGUAGCGGUGGAAUGCGCAGAUAUCAGGAGGAACACCGAUGGCGAAGGCAGUGGUCUGGGCCGAUACUGACGCUGAGGAGCGAAAGCGUGGGGAGCGAACAGG
rnacentral:rRNA from 1 species